rnacentral:rRNA from 1 species
UACGUAGGAUGCAAGCGUUAUCCGGAAUCACUGGGUUUAAAGGGUCUGUAGGCGGUUUUGUAAGUCAGUGGUGAAAUAUCCGAGCUCAACUUGGAGGGUGCCAUUGAUACUGCUAGACUUGAGAUAGAAUGACGUGGGCGGAAUGUGUCAUGUAGCGGUGAAAUGCGUAGAGAUGACACAGAACACCAAUUGCGAAGGCAGCUCACGAAGCCUUAUCUGACGCUGAGGGACGAAAGCGUGGGGAGCAAACAGG